UAAUGGGCCACAGCUGAAGCAGGCAGGAAGGAGGUUCUGUCCCCUGCCAGUGCAGGUAUGCCAGCAGUGAUGCAAGAGGGAUGAAGGCUUGAUCUGCUGGUUGUGUCCUCUUUACUUUCUCUUACUCUUGAAUGGGUGAAGUCUUGCCUGACUGUUUCAAAAGUUUUAUCAAGCCUUGUAUGAUAACUAAGAAGUCCCUGUCUGGAGAUGAUGGAGCAUAAACAGGCAGAAGCUGCAUCAUGUUAGAGGACUUGUGACUACUGUUCAGUGGUGUUUCCUGUGAAAAACCCAUCUGAGCCAUGCUCUGGAGUCUGCCCAAGCUUCAGUUUUCUGGUGAGUUUAAAUAUUCUUACUCACACUUGGGUUGCCUUGAAUGUUUUGGAUCCUUUUCAGGGGGCCAUGGUUGCCCUGUGGAAUAAAGGAGGCUCCAUAUACUGAUGCAUGGACAACUCUCUCCAGUUUGAACAGAGGCAAUCAUUGGCUUCUUCAGUCUGCUGUUUGUGAAGGAAAAACAUCUCUUAUUGUCUGGAUUUGUUCAGUCACAAUUGCACUCUCCUGUAGCUUAAGCCUUAUGGAAUAAGUUACAUUUAAAAUUAGAAGAUGAAGAAUAUGCAAAUUUCCUCAGCUGAACCAAAUAAUCAGGAUAUGUGAAAUGUCUUGAAAAACUUCACAUGCUUUGGCAGAAAUGCCAUUCUCUGCCAUAUGAAAGAGCAAGCAAAUUAAUAUAUUGUGUCAUAUGAUAGGAUGAAAGGUUAGUGAUACACUAAUGGGUUCAUGCACAAUAAUUUCUACAAACUGAUCAGAAGGCAAAAAAAUGUAAUAACAAUUGUUUUAUUUUAAUCAGAUUGUUAUUUCCAGUUUCAUUUAAGUGAAAGAUUGCCCACAGUUUCUGUUUCAUCUUAGAAGCUCUUCUGCAAUGAUCCUGUUUUUCUGCUACAUUCUGGGAGGCUGGAAAGUUCUACAAUGGUAGGAUCCUAGGAAUCCUGUGAGAGGACACUUGAGGUCCAUCUGCAAAGCUCUUGGAUCAUGGAUAAUUUCAUUGCUUUCCAUUAAGUAUGAAACUGGCAGCAAGUUGGCAGUUCCCAGGGUGAGGUCAUGAGCUUUGGUUCUUUUACAUCUGAACUUACAUAACACCUUGUUCCUUGGUUAACUUCAUAUUUGAACAUGGAAGAAUCUUGCUUUGAUACUUGAAACAAGAUGGUUUUGAGCCACAGAAUGUAUGAAACCUAGUUUCCUGCAGUUUGGUGCCCUUUAUCCUCUUUAAUACCCCAAUGGGGCAAAAGUCUGGUAAACUACUCUAGAUGUCAGAUUUCCCUGUGUGCUGCUCAGCCAGCCAGUUGCUAACAGCAUCCAUAGCAGCUGAGUUUAGCCUGCUCUUCCUUCCAUCUUCGAAAAUUAAUUUCCUGAAAAUUUGCUGCAGGGUUAAAAAAAAGACUGGUGCAGAGGGAACCACAACAGAGGAUCAGAUGGUAUGAUCAAAACUGUGUAAUUUUUUUUAGGAAACCUGCUAAGAUUGAGUAAUUUGGAUAUAAAUCAGAAAGCAUAAUGGAUUGGACCUCAGCAGUUUCCUGGCUCCUGUGCUCUGUGCCAGAGACUAAAAUUGGUAUUCGGGAGUCCUGUAUUCAUGGGGAAUUUUUCAGAUGGAUACCAGCCAGCAGCACAACCCUGGGGCAUCUUCUCUAAAGAUGAGUCCACACUGAGGGCCUGUGAGAGCUGAGCAGAGCACGGGAGAUGCACAGUGUGCACUGGGGCUUUGUGGCUUCUGAGUCCCCUGGCUGACCUCCAGGGCUGUGUGAAUCAUCACAGGCCCAGCAGCAGAGGUGGGAAUGCUGUAAAAUGCAAUUUAUUUCAUUUCCUCUUCCUGUACACCAAGUACUGCAAUAUAUGCAGAGGUCUAAGUAAAUGAUUUUGGAUGCAGAGCCAUAAAUUUCAAUCACACACACUCUAAGAGAUUUUUUAAAACAACAACAACAAAAAAUCACAUAUUGUUCUCAUGUACCCUUUAGUUACUUUAUAGGACUCCCUCUGUUCGUGACUGUUUCUGUUAUUGUUGGAAGAAUAAACCUCCUCAAAAUAGAUCAUCGUAAGGAUGGAAUCUGUCCAGUGACCACUUAAAUAGAAGCUUGCUGCCAGAACCAGUUUAUUUCAGCUGUAAUCACGAGGUUUUUUGUGCACUUAUUUGUUUGUUCUUCAAUGCUGUCUGUAAUAUUGAGAUGCUCUGCUAGUGUCUUUAAUGUUAUCCAAUGUUUUUCCAAAACAAAGUAGAUAAAUACAUAAGAAAAGGUCAGAGAGAGAUCCUUGGGUUUUUCCAACAGACAGGAAAGCCUAAUAUGUCAUCAGGUGUCCACCAUACCUCGGUUACCUCAGUAUGGACCUGUUAUUGGCAACAAUAUGUAUUUUCUUCUGCAAGAACUAACUUAGAUUGCUUGUGUUACUUGUAUCAUGUGUGCUCUUUGAUAGGUGCUGCUCUGAAGCUUUGCUGUGAAAAGGAGGAUGGGCUUGUGUUUCAGCCAUAUAACCCAAAGUUAGGGUGUCUGGGUUUUUUCCCUGACAGUAUAAUGAAUUUCAGCAAACCUGCCUGGGUAUCUUGUGCCCUUUUUCUCCCGUCGUUUCCUCAUCUUCUGUACAGCGAUUUUCAGAAGGGAAAAAUAGGAGAAAGUUAAUUUGAUUGUUAUCAGACACAAACAAUUAAGCAACUGUUUACAGACAGAUCGCAGUCAUUCCUGUGUGGAGUCCAGAGGUGUCUCCUCCUUUCCUGGGUUGUACCCUGAUGGAUGACACAGUGUGCUGCCCCUCUGUCCCCAGCGCACUGGAGGGGUGGGGGGAAAGAGCACAAGCCAGAAGGAAGGUACAUCACUGUAGCAGUGUUCUUUGGGAGAAAAUAAACCUUUAGGUGUGUUUCAGACAAGUGCCUGGAGAAGCAGAAGCACUCUCCUGUCAUGGUCAGGGAGGACUUUAGCCCCCCUGAGCUUCUAGAUGUACUGCCCCUGCAAAGUGCAGGUAGAGGCAGCUGUCAGGGAAGAGCAGGCAGGAGGAGUUGAACAGUGGUUAUAAACCAUGAUCACAGGUUAAGUGGGAAUCAUUUUGCUAGAAAUGCCAUGUGAUAGGGAAUUUGAAUACAUGAGCAAAGGGCACUGAUGGGACAGAACCUGGAAACAGCACCAGCUGGAAAGACAGGUCCUGCUGGAGCUGUAUCAGCACCCACUGUGGUGUCCAGCUCUGCCUGCGUGCUCGGGCUGGCUUGGAGGUGUCUCAGGUCAUGAGCACCAUGUCCUGAUAUCAUGUGAGUUCCCACACAGGCUUCAGGUAGAGGCAGAGAUUUCUGGAGAGGAGGGGAUCCUGGUGGCCACUUCCCUCUGCAAAACCUGCACAGGGAGGCUGAGGAAGUCAGAACUCCAUGUAUGCAAAUGCAGGGACCUUGUGUGCAAGAGCUUGGAGGAUUGGGAGGCACACGGGGCAGGGAGGGAAGAAAUCAGUCUCCAGCAACUCAGGUAGGUUAGACAGAGAUGUCUAAAGCAGACUGCAGGGAGAAGGAUCUGCAGUAAAAUUUGGAAAGGCCUUAUCUCAAGUCAGGCAGGUCUGCCUUCAGGCUGGGGCUCUCUUUUAGGCUCUGCCAAGCCCCUGGGGUGAAGUUCAAGCAGUGCUUCACUUUGCAAGGGCCUGUUGGCCCCAAGCCCAUGGGAGCUCCUGAACAAGACUAUGGGAGAAUGCUGAAGGCUCUCUUCUGCCCCAAAGAGUUCAUGUAUCCUGAAUACAGAAGGUUCUUCUCCACCUCAUCUAUUGUCCAUUUAUCAUAUAGGAACAUCAUUACAGAUACUUCAGGAGAAGCCAUACUUGCAGAAGUAAACUGUAAUAACAAAAUUUCAUGUGCCUAUAAAGAGUACCUUAAUACUGAAGUGCAUCACAAGCCAGAGAUGCACAGAUGCUCGCCAGAAAACCACCACAGCAUUGGGUAGUCUUUUCUCUGAUAGAAAAGCUCUCAGAAAUCAAAAAUGUACCUCAGUCUCCUCUUAAAUGGGAUGUGACAUGGUUUUACAUUCGCACAUGCAAAUGUUGUUUGUUUGAUUCACACAGGAGGAUUGGUUUAUUUGGUAUAAUUAGAACUAAUCUAAUUAGUUUGCAGGGCAUAUGCAAUGGGAAUAUUUCAUGUGACUUGCAAAGAUAAGGCUCUCUUCUCUUGAAGAACAGAGGCCUUCCUUGAUGUUGACCAGAAUGCAUUUAGUUUGCUAAGAACUCACUGCCACAACAAAAUAGAAAUUCAGGUGGAACAGGAUAUAAUUGCUGCAGGUACUUUAAAACCACCAGAUUGCAUUUCUGAUGACUAACAUGCAAUUAGCACCGUAACAGACCUGCUUGCUGGAAGGGGAAAGGCAUAAAACUUGUUUCUUACAUCCCUCAUGUACAUGGUAAGAACAAAUCCUACUGGCUGUGGAGGAAAGACAAAGCAAUCCAUGUACCUGAACAAAAAUGUGCAUCAGCCUACUGACAUUUAAAUCUUGUUCUUCUUGCUCUUCUUCCCUCCAUUUUAAGAUCUGGCUGUGGUUUUUUUGCAAGAGAGUAAGUCCCACCAAGGAGCCUGUUCCGUGAUACUGAAAUUUGCAAGGGUGUUGGAGAUUAAAUAAGCAUAUUGCCUAAGGCUGAGCUGCUAAGAACAACUGUGGUUUUUUACUUAGCUAUUCUCAGCAGGAGAACCAGGCAAUUGCAAGUGAGAGUUUCAAGGCAAGUGUAAGUUUCAAGACCAAGAGGCAUAUUCACUCCCAGGGUUAGAGAGUUAAUCUGCCUCUUUAAACUCCUCUUUAUGGCCAGCACCCUGAAUCAUUCCCAGCACAGGUGGCUGAGACACACAGAGCUCCCUGCCCCAAAUGCUCAGUGUUGCAAUCCUGUCACUCUCUGUGAAAGUAUUGGUGUAUUGUGGUUCAAAGGAACUGAUCAAAUCUACUUGUGCUGACUGCUGCAUCCCUGAGGACAUGUGCUGUUAGUCCUGACAAGCAGGGACUUGGUUCUUGUGUUUUGGUUGGUUUGGCCAGAUCUUAACAGAGGUGUAGAACAGGACUUUUCCAGGUGGGAAACUUCCUGUCUAAGAGAAGUCUGUGAAAGUAGCACAAUAUUCUGGUUACUAGAAAAGUCUUGUUUCCUCCUUCCUGAGAGGGUACCUUUCAAAAAGACAGUCAUUGCUCGUCACAGCCUCUGCUUUCACCAAGCAGUAAAUAUUCAGCUCUCAAGUUCCCUCCUGAAUUCUUAUUUCCAGUGGCUUUGCUUGCACUCUGAAUCUCCUUCUACUCAUCUUGCAGCUCUCUGGCAGUUGCAGGCUCAGAACUAAGCACAGCAUCACUGUAGCUACAGGAGAUUCCUACAGCUCAAACUACGUUUUCCUGAUCUGAACCAGCAUGGCCUCAGAUCUAUUACUGUCAGCACCUUUCUACUGCACAGUUGGCUCCCACUCUCUGAACACUAGUAGUCCAGACUUUUCCUUCAGCUUACAUUAGGCUUAUAUUGGCUCAAAUAUAAUUAGAUACCUACUAAAAUUGAUAUCAAUUUAGACAAAUUGUCUAAAUAGAAUUUGUGGCUUUUUUUCGUCCACUGUUGCUCAGGUAAAUCUCUCUCUCUGUCUUCUACAUUAGGACAUGGGAGGUGGACUAGAAACAAAAGCAUUCACUCAUAGAUGUUUCUGAUUGAUAACUAACCCUAAUCACAGUCACAUAAACCUCUGAAACCUCCUAAAUGCUUGUAUCAAAUGCCUUACUAAAAGCCAGUUAAUCUGUUUUUAUAAUCUCCUCAAAUUAUUUGUAACUGUCAACAAAUUAAGUAUCUUUGCUCAUUGAGGUAUGUUUUUUCCUCAGUCUGCUAGCAAAUCCCUGGUGUUCUGCCACUUAUCUGAGUGAUAUCACUUACCAAAACUGUGGUAAGUCCAUUAUCUGAUUCCUUUACUGACCAAUACAGCAAAUUGUCUGGAUUCCCACUAUGCUGCAGUAAGCUCACAUUUCACAAAUAUUUUCUUACUUGUUUCCAUCAGUUACUUCAUGACAUCCUUAUUGAUUUUCAACCAUCCCUCAUUUCGAGUACUUUUUAAAUAGAUUUCCACCAUUUCAGUUUUAUCAAUCUCAAUUCAGAGUUCCUGUAUUAAUAGGCUUUUCAUAUUCCUUUCCCUCCCCAGGCACAUUUAUGAAAGCUCUUCUUCCCUCAGCCUUCUGGUCACUGUUAAUUUAUUGUUGUGGAUGCCCUUAGCUUGUUCUCUGAGGUUUAAAUCCAGCCAGCUGAUCAUUUGCAGUCCAUCUUCCCUCAUUCACUGUAAGGCUACCAUGCCACUUGCUGCUGCACAUUGUGAAACUACAGAGCAUGGGGCUACUGUGAUGUUUCAUUUUUAAGACCUAAUUGUAAUGCUCUCUGAGGUUCACAGGGUUGGGUUUUUUUCCUUCUUAGAUGCUAAAUCACAUUUUGAAAUCUGCCAAUGCUGCUAAUAUAUGAGGAAAAAGGGCAGAGAAAAUUCCAUUUGUUAGAUGCUGGGCUGCUUCCCCAGCUGGGCAGCAGAGAGUUUUUCUCCUGUAGACAGCCAGCCUCAAAUGCUGCUGUCUGGGGAUUAAUCCAGGAUAUCUUGAAAACCAAAACUCCAUUCUUCAAAUUAGUUGUUUGCACCACACUGCAGGAAUUUCAGUGACUCAUAAAUCCUGUUAUUUCAAAGUAAGGGAAGUACUUGAAAAUAUCACAUGGAGCUUGAAUGUUCCAGCCCAUUUCACAGACCAAGAUUUUCAGCUAAUCAGGGGACAUUACACAUCUUUUCUUGGACACUCACCUCAUGUUUCCUGUUCUAAAUCAAAAUACAGUAAGUGACAUCUGUGAGUUUGCUGCCACCCUAUAUAUGUUUUUAUAUGCCAGAUCACAAUAUUAUCAUGUUCUGGGGAGCAGCCAUAUACCAAACAAACAAACAAAAAAUAACAGUUGCAAAAAGGAGAAGUUAAAAAAAUGAAAGAAUUGUAGCUAAUAGAAGAUAUUGUUUAGCCUCCUUUGUGCUUGCAAUCAAUGUUGAUAUAAAGUAUACCAAAAGCAGAAAAGGAUGAACAGGAAAAAAAAAAUUGGGAUAAUUUUCCUUGGUCUAAUAAAUUGUUGCCUAUUUUCUGCAGUUUAGUGAGCCCCCUAGAGUAAUAUUAUUCCCUUCCCUUCUGUCCUAUCCUUAUCCCUACUUCUGCACCCAGCUUGCCUUUGCCAGAUAAGUCACAUCACACUGCUCCUGCCAGCAUUUCAGAAGCUCAUUUGUAAAAACACCAAAUCCUAGUACCUCUGUAACAGUAAUUUAAAAAAAAAAAUUAAGGGCGAGGAAAUUAUUUUAAAAACCACAUUUGAUCAAACUUUUUUAUUUUUUGUCAUCAGGAAUACCUCAUUUAAUCUUUGUUUAUUAAUGGCAAUGUGACCUAACACUUAAAAAUUCCCUUCUUCCACUAAGUCUCUAUGUGUUAGAAGGAUGCUUGAGAACAUCAAGCCAAUAUUGUCUGGCUGUGUGCAGGAGAAUAUCCAUAUUUUUUGCCCUUACACUUUUUUUUAAAAAAGCAAAAUACUUCCAUUUAAGACAACACAUGCUCACCUUUAAGCCUGGGAAGCUCCUAGAGAAGUUUAGCAGCAACAGGCUGCUGAGAUAUGUAACACCUGCAAUUUCAGCCACAUCAGCACUGAGCACUCACAGUGAGGAACCUGGAUCUCCAUGAAGGCUGCAGUGUCCACCCCCAGCCUACCAUCCUAGCUGCUGUUCCAGUCAUUCCCACUCUUUUAGCAAGCCAGUCUCUGACGGACCUGUGGUUGGAUACACGACACAGGUGAAGUUUUAUGUAGGACCAUGAGGUCCAUACUGAGAACUGAAAUGUUAUCUGCAAGUGUUAAAGAGGCCACUGAUUUAGUUAUGUGUAUCCUGAAGUAAACUUUUGCUUUCCUCUUGAAGAUGAGGUCUGGCAAUUAUAGACUACUAAGGGGAGGGUCUGGUCAAGAGCAAAUGUUCUCCUUCCCUGAGUCCAGAUGUCCUUUGGAAGACUCCUGACUCCUGCUGUAGUGUCUUGGCAGCAAAGCUGAUCCCUUAACACCAUGACUUCAGGAGAGGCAACGUUAGUAUAUGCACCCAUCAAGUUUUCAGAACCUGACAACAAAGUGCCAUCAUUCACAGAAAGGCAGUUUUGCUAUUGCUUGCAAAGUUUCACCUAAGAGGCACCAAAAUAACAACCCACAAGCUCCUUCUGCAGGAUAAAUGCUUUCAGGGCUGUAUGACAUUCCUGCAGGCUUGGUGACCUCAGGUGAAACUACUAAAACCAGCUGAAUUGUGUCAACUGGCACAGGAACUGGCUCCCAGGGGACAGAAGGGUGUAGUGUGGCACAGACCACACAGGAGCCAUACCUCUCUCUCAACUCACAGUCCUCCAACAGUGCACAAACCUUUGAAGAGGCAUAAGAAAAGGCUGUCCAACAAAAAGCACCUCCACUGCAUUUCAGGGUUCCAUUCACAGCACGCUCUGAAUACUUGACUAAAGCACUCUUUCUUUUGAUGUAACCUUUUCAUAAAGAGUGUUUACCCAAAAUUUCACAGGACAACAAAGAAAAGCAAAUGUUCCAUUUUAUUUUCAACAGUUCAUUUCUCAGAUGUAAAAAGUCUGUCCCAAAAUAACUUAGAAAUUAUAAAAUACAAUGUCCACAUGUUUAUACUGGUAAUUUUAUUCCUGCAGGAGACUUGAGAGAUUAAAAAAAAGUUAAAAGUAGCAUUUCAUUUCAUUUCAGAACAUGUUACUUCUGAAUAAACUUACAAGAUCGAAAGCAUUUAAGAGUUCUAAUGGUGGUGGCUUAAUAGGAAUCUUUCCGAUUGUGAACUCCUUUGCUUCAAACUGCUGCCACUCUUCAGCUGACAG